UUCCGGUUGAUCCUGCCGGAGGAAUUGCUCUUGGGGUCCGAUUUAGCCAUGCUAGUCGCGCGGGCUUAGACCCGUGGUGAACAGCUCAGUAACACGUGGCCAAGCUGCCCUAUGGACCGGGACAACCUCGGGAAACUGAGGCUAAUCCCGGAUAUGACUCGCAUCCUGGAGUGGAGCGAGUCAGAAAUGCUCCGGCGCCAUAGGAUGUGGCUGCGGCCGAUUAGGUAGACGGUGGGGUAACGGCCCACCGUGCCCGUAAUCGGUACGGGGCAUGAGAGUGCGAGCCCGGAGGCGGUAUCUGAGACAAGAUACCGGGCCCUACGGGGCGCAGCAGGCGCGAAACCUUUACACUGCGCGAGAGCGCGAUAAGGGGACCCCAAGUGCGAGGGCAUAUAGUCCUCGCUGUUCUGGACUGUAGGGAGGUUCAGAAGAAAGGGCUGGGCAAGACCGGUGCCAGCCGCCGCGGUAAUACCGGCAGCCCGAGUGAUGGCUGAUUUUAU
rnacentral:rRNA from 1 species